AUGAGAGAAUUGGAAUUCAGAGCUGGACUGAAUGAGCGUCCACCCCGAGAACGGUUAGACCAAGAGUUGCUAUUGCUGAUACAAAUUGGGUCUCACACGGUGGUUGUUGCUAUUCCUAAGAUAAAGUCUAGAAACGCAAAAGCACCACUACCAGCGUCGCCCUCAUCCCAACAACAGGUCAUGGAAGGGGUGACAGUAACACAAACUCGUAUUGUUAUCCAUAGCUCUCAACAUAAACAAACUCACGAACUAGAAAAUCUGAACAAACUCAUAUUUUGA